rnacentral:rRNA from 1 species
CUACGGGUCGCACCAGUGAGGAAUAUUGCACAAUGGGGGGAGCCCUGAUGCAGCAACGCCGCGUGGAGGAUGACGCAUUUCGGUGUGUAAACUCCUUUUAUAUGUCAAGAAAAUGACGGUAGCAUAUGAAUAAGCACCGGCUAACUCCGUGCCAGCAGCCGCGGUAAUACGGAGGGUGCAAGCGUUACUCGGAAUCACUGGGCGUAAAGGACGCGUAGGCGGGUUGGAAAGUCAGGUGUGAAAUCCUACAGCUUAACUGUAGAACUGCACUUGAAACUUCCAAUCUAGAGUAUGGGAGGGUGAGAUGGAAUUAGUGGUGUAGGGGUAAAAUCCGUAGAUAUCACUAGGAAUACCUAAAGCGAAGGCGAUCUCCUGGAACAUUACUGACGCUAAGGCGUGAAAGCGUGGGGAGCAAACAGGAUUAGAUACCCCAGUAGUC